UACAGGGGGUGCAAACGUUGCUCGGAAUUAUUGGGCGUAAAGCGCGCGUAGGCGGCCGCUUAAGUCGGAUGUGAAAGCCCCUGGCUCAACUGGGGAAGUGCACCCGAAACUGAGUGGCUUGAGUACUAAAGAGGGUCGCGGAAUUCCCGGUGUAGAGGUGAAAUGCGCAGAUAUCGGGAGGAACACCAAUGGCGAAGGCAGCUCGCUGGGACGGUGACUGACGCUGAGACGCGAAAGCGUGGGGAGCGAACAGG
rnacentral:rRNA from 1 species